GCCUGGGUGGCUUGGUCGGUUAAGCGUCUGACUUCGGCUCAGGACAUGAUCUCACGGUCCGUGAGUUCGAGCCCCGCAUCGGGCU
rfam:Felis catus isolate Cinnamon breed Abyssinian chromosome D2, whole genome shotgun sequence.